rnacentral:rRNA from 1 species
UACGAAGGGGGCUAGCGUUGCUCGGAAUCACUGGGCGUAAAGCGCACGUAGGCGGAUUGCUAAGUCAGGGGUGAAAUCCUGGAGCUCAACUCCAGAACUGCCUUUGAUACUGGCGAUCUUGAGUCCGGGAGAGGUGAGUGGAACUGCGAGUGUAGAGGUGAAAUUCGUAGAUAUUCGCAAGACCACCAGUGGCGAAGGCGGCUCACUGGCCCGGUACUGACGCUGAGGUGCGAAAGCGUGGGGGAGCAAACAGG